UAAACCGGAGGAAGGUGGGGAUGACGUCAAGUCAGCAUGGCCUUUAUAUCCUGGGCUACACACACGCUACAAUGGGAAGGGACAAUAGGUUGCGAAGCCGCGAGGCGGAGCCAAUCCAGCAAAAUUCCCUCAGUUCAGAUUGCAGGCUGCAACUCGCCUGCAUGAAGUUGGAGUUGCUAGUAAACGCAGGUCAGCCAUACUGCGUUGAAUACGUUCCCGGGCUU
rnacentral:rRNA from 1 species